rnacentral:rRNA from 1 species
UACCUCUUCCUCUGGAAGGGUAGUGUUUAUUAGAUACAGAACCAACCCACCUCCUGGUGGUCCUCAGGUGAUUCAUAGUAACCGAACGGAUCGCGUUAUGACUUCGGUCGGCGACGGAUCAUUCAAGUUUCUGACCUAUCAGCUUUCGACGGUACUGUAUUGGACUACCGUGGCAGUGACGGGUAACGGGGAAUUAGGGUUCGAUUCCGGAGAGGGAGCCUGAGAAACGGCUACCACAUCUAAGGAAGGCAGCAGGCGCGCAAAUUACCCAAUCCUGAUUCAGGGAGGUAGUGACAAGAAAUAACAACGCUGGAAAUUUCAUUUCUAGCGAUUGGAAUGAUGGGAAUCCAAACCCCUUUCAGAGUAACAAUUGGAGGGCAAGUCUGGUGCCAGCAGCCGCGGUAAUUCCAGCUCCAAUAGCGUAUAUUAAAGUUGUUGCAGUUAAAAAGCUCGUAGUUGGAUUUCUGCUGGAAGCAGCCAGUCCGCCCUUAGGGGUGCGCACUUGGUGAAUUCCAGCAUCCUCCUGGUAGCUCUCCACACUUCAUUGUGUGGAGAGUUCUUCCAGGACUUUUACUUUGAGAAAAUUAGAGUGUUUCAAGCAGGCCUGUCGCCUUGAAUACUGCAGCAUGGAAUAAUAAGAUAGGAUUUCGGCCCUAUUUUGUUGGUUUCUAGGACUGAAGUAAUGAUUAAUAGGGACGGUUGGGGGCAUUCGUAUUUAACUGUCAGAGGUGAAAUUCUUAGAUUUGUUAAAGACGAACUACUGC